UACAGAGGAGGCAAGCGUUGUCCGGACUUACUGGGCGUAAAGCGUCCGCAGGUGGUCGGGCAAGUGCCGUGUGAAAGCGCUCGGCUUAACUGAGCGAGGCCAUGGCAGACUGCUCGACUCGAGACCGGGAGAGGUCGUUGGAAUUGCCGGUGUAGUGGUGAAAUGCGUAGAGAUCGGCAGGAACACCCAAGGGGAAGCCAGCUGACUGGCCCGGUACUGACACUCAGGGACGACAGCGUGGGGAGCGAACCGG
rnacentral:rRNA from 1 species